CAUGAACACUGGUGAUAUUAUUUCAGUAUCAUUGGCCCAAAUAUAAUUUAAUAAUAGACCAAACCAUAAUAUUGGGCCUGAUACGUAUCAGUGGACUGAUACUUGUGAUACUCAGAUUUGUGUGACGUGGCUUCCGGUGAUUGGUCUAUGAAAACAGAGAAGAAAAAGAAAAAAACCAUUUCUCUCUUUCGUCAGCUUCUCACUUUCUCUCUCUCUUUCGAGAUCAUCAAACACAAUCAAAACGAAGAAUCACUUGAAGAGGAAGAAGAAGAAGAUCGAGAAGCUUAAUGGGUUGGAUCCCGUGUUCUGGGAAAUCGAGCGGGAGGACUAAGACAAGGAGGAACGCUGACCAAAAACUCAACAGGAAGUCUUCUGAUUGUUCUGUCUCUACUUCAGGAUUCCGAGAGCGAGGAAUGUGAAGAAACAGAGGAAGAGUUUCUAGAAAGGUAUGCUAAAGCUGCAGCAGAAUUGGAGGAUAGUGAAGUAAUUAAAGCUGUCUUAUUGCAAAGUUCAAGCUAAAGUCCCAAUAGUUUCUCCAUACUUCCAGUCAUCAACUAUUUCACAAUGUGAUUCUGACAUUGUUCUUCUCAAAGUGGAAAGAAUUAUAGGAGAGGAAGCAGCAAACGUCAAGCUAAAGUCCGAAGAGUUUCGCCAUAUUUCCAGGAAUCAACUGUUUCAAAACAGCCAAGCCAGGCUCCUCCUAGAGAUUUGCGUCAGUAUUUUAAAGUUGUUGUCUCAAGCUUCUGUAAUCAAGCAGACUCUACUGAGAAAGUUACCUCUGCAAUGUUCCCAUUUCUCUUAAUUCAACCGAAGGUUCUUUCUUGUUCUCUUCAUUUUAUACAACUAUGGUGAAAGUCUUUAUUACUUCUGCUAGUUGUUGUAAUCAUAUCUUUCAAUAGACCUGGAAUUUGUUUCAUUAUGAUUAAGAAUUGUAAUUUGUUAUGAUUAUGGAUGGAUUUCUAAAAUUUUAUAUAUUUAUUUUUUA